GUGGGGAAUAUUGGACAAUGGGCGGAAGCCUGAUGCAGCAACGCCGCGUGCGGGAUGACGGCCUUCGGGUUGUAAACCGCUUUCAGCAGGGACGAAGCGCAAGUGACGGUACCUGCAGAAGAAGCACCGGCUAACUACGUGCCAGCAGCCGCGGUGAUACGUAGGGUGCGAGCGUUGUCCGGAUUUAUUGGGCGUAAAGAGCUUGUAGGCGGUUGGUUGCGUCGAAAGUGCAAACUCAGGGCUUAACUCUGAGCCUGCUUUCGAUACGGGCUGACUGGAGGAAGGUAGGGGAGAAUGGAAUUCCCGGUGGAGCGGUGGAAUGCGCAGAUAUCGGGAGGAACACCAGUGGCGAAGGCGGUUCUCUGGACCUUUCCUGACGCUGAGAAGCGAAAGCGUGGGGAGCAAACAGGCUUAGAUACCCUAGUAGUCC
rnacentral:rRNA from 1 species